rnacentral:rRNA from 1 species
UACGGGGGGAGCAAGCGUUGUUCGGAAUCACUGGGCGUAAAGGGCGUGUAGGCGGUUAGGUAAGUGGAAUGUGAAAUGCCUCGGCUCACCCGAGGAUCUGCAUCCCAAACUGCCUGACUUGAGUAUGGGAGAGGAUGAGGGAAUUCCUGGUGUAGCGGUGAAAUGCGUAGAUAUCAGGAGGAACACCGGUGGCGAAGGCGCUCAUCUGGCCCAAUACUGACGCUGAGGCGCGAAAGCUAGGGGAGCAAACGGG